rnacentral:sRNA from 1 species
GCUGGGUACGGUGCCGAAUGCCUGUAAUCCCAGUGGCUUGGGAGGCUGAGACAGGAGGAUCACAAGUUCAAAGCCAGCCUCAGCAAAAGCAAGACACCAAGCAACUCAGUGAGAACCUAUUUCUA